CGACAACAAAGCAGAUGCUAUCCAUCAACUCCACUCUGAAAAACACAAUUUGGUUUUUCAUGGUAACACUUACUGGAGCUUUCGCUUUGCGUAUGCAGAACAAGAAAAAUGACAAAAGUUGCAAGACUCGUGUGGUCGCAUCUCUGCAAGAGCACAGAGAAAACUACGAGGCGUCAUCGUUGGUGGUGAAAUCUGAGACGGGACAACUGAGAACGCCACAGUCUCCAGGAAACAAGUAUUAAAUCCAGUUAAGGGUCACAUUGAGGUAUUGAUGACAAUGAGACACAGAAAACAUUUUGGAUCAGAGACCCUGCUGGGCACCGGGAGUGAGGAAAGCCUGCGAGUCAGGGGCUGAUACAUUGGCUGAUUAGCAGCUUGGCUUGUGCUGAUAGCUGCAGAGCUGCUAUUUGUUGCCCUGCUCUGAGACACAGAUGAGCGAAAGUUUGGAAGCAGCUGACAUUUUCCUCCGCUCUCAUCCCUCAGCUAAGAGGCCUCUUCUCUGUAGCAGCCCCGUCAGCAUCGACAUCAGAUAACACCAAACUGUACGCAGAUGGUGUUGAAGCAGCUUAACUCUUGUUUUCCAAUUUUUUUUACCCAGGAAUGUUCACAUCAACAACUUCAGUCAGAAAUCACAGUAGUGCUCAAUUAAAUAGGCGAUACUUGACUCAGAUUGCCCUUCCCAGCACCUUCUCUGUAAGCUGUAUAAAUACAGGACAAUUCCCACUGCAUUAGUUGUGUAUGCCAUCAGUUAUUUAAAUGGGCACAUGUUGCUGUCACUGGAAUUUCUUUGAUAUAAAUUGACAAUGAUUUAUUAAAGGGAUUUGUGAAUGAUUCUAUUAUGAAUGAGGACACUUACAACCAUGACCAGGAGAAGCAGCAAGGCUCGCGCCACAGGAAAAGCAGCAGUCUCACAUUAGAAGACCCCGCAGUCCUACA